UACGUAGGGGGCAAGCGUUAUCCGGAUUUACUGGGUGUAAAGGGAGCGUAGACGGUACGGCAAGUCAGAAGUGAAAGCCCGGGGCUCAACCCCGUGGACUGCUUUUGAAACUGCUAAACUAGAGUGCGGGAGAGGUAAGUGGAAUUCCUAGUGUAGCGGUGAAAUGCGUAGAUAUUAGGAGGAACACCAGUGGCGAAGGCGACUUACUGGACCGUAACUGACGUUGAGGCUCGAAAGCGUGGGGAGCAAACAGG
rnacentral:rRNA from 1 species